rnacentral:rRNA from 1 species
GAUGAACGCUGGCGGCGUGCUUAACACAUGCAAGUCGAACGGUGAAGCAGAGCUUGCUCUGUGGAUCAGUGGCGAACGGGUGAGUAACACGUGAGCAACCUGCCCUUGACUCUGGGAUAAGCGCUGGAAACGGCGUCUAAUACCGGAUAUCAGCUGCGAUCGCAUGGUCAGCAGUUGGAAAGAUUUUUCGGUCGGGAAUGGGCUCACGGCCUAUCACCUUGUUGGUGAGGUAAUGGCUGACCAAGGCGUCGACGGGUAGCCGGCCUGAGAGGGUGACCGGCGACACUGGGACUGAGACACGGCCCAGACUCCUACGGGAGGCAGCAGUGGGGAAUAUUGCACAAUGGGCGGAAGCCUGAUGCAGCAACGCCGCGUGAGGGAUGACGGCCUUCGGGUUGUAAACCUCUUUUAGCAGGGAAGAAGCGAGAGUGACGGUACCUGCAGAAAAAGCGCCGGCUAACUACGUGCCAGCAGCCGCCGUAACAC